ACCUGGCAUGAUACUGUUUUUUCUAUUUUCAUGUUAAGUCAAUUAUUGUCAAACCCAACCAAAUCAAACCUCCAAUAUUUUUUAAGGAUACUCAACUACAUCAAACAAACCCAACUCAAGGACUUCUCUUCACGUAUAAAUCAUCACAAACAUUAACUUGAUUCACUAACUCCGAUUGGGGAACUUUCAACACUACCCGAAGCUCCAUAACUGGCUCAUACUUCUUCUUGGGCACAUCUUUGACAUGUUGGAAAAGUAAAGAAUAACAUGUGUUAUUCUGGUUAUCCUCUAAGGCGAAAUAUUGCACUUUGGUUAAUUCAACUUGCGAGGUAUGCUAUUCACAUAGAAAAUAAUCAUGUUUUCAUGAACAAACGAAACAUAUAGAGAUAAAUUGUCAUAUAGUUCAUGAUAAAGUCCAAUCAAAAUUGAUUAAUCUCAUGCCAAUCUCUUAUACAAAUCAAGUGGCUGAUUUCUCACCAAAGCUCUCCACCUUGGUCCAUUUUCUGUUUUGUGUGAUAAACUUGGACUACAUGAUAGAUUUGAGUUUGAAAGAGAGUUUCUAAAAUACAUACACUUUGAUCUUUAUUGCAUUUUAUAUUUUAGGAUAUUUGUUAUAAUCUAUAUUUUUUACUAUUGGUCUCAGUUUAAGUUUGUUUCAAGUACCUCUAAGUUGUAGUUAGUUACUAUAGGCCAAUAUAAAUUUAAGAGAGAUACUAGAUGUAAGCAUAGUUUUUUUACAUUAAUAUUAUUUCUUAUUUUUUCAUUUGCAUUAUCUUUAGAAUAACGUCUCUCUCUCUCUCUCCCCUUUUAUCCACCACACAUGUUGCUCGCUGCAGAUUCUUCUUCCUCCAACCAACCACAUGCAUAUCAACUGCUUCUCUCUUGUUGUAUAAUAUUUUUCAUGGAUUUUGAUUUUGGGGGGAUUUCUUCCAUUUAUGUUAAUUUAGAGAACAUUGUGUGAGAUUCUUCUUGGGAUUGUGCUCUUGUAAGUUGUAUUGUGAAUUUAGAGAAUUUUGAGAAUGUUUCUCUUUUUUAUUUUCAUUUUACUUUUAUGGAUCUUUCAAUGUAUUCUUUUAUUUUGCUUUGUUAUGUUGUUGUGCUGAAAUUUUACUUUGUUCUUUAAUUGUACUUUUCUGCAACAUUGUUCAAUUA